rnacentral:tRNA from 3 species
GCGCCCUUAGCUCAAUUGGUUAGAGCAACUGACUCUUAAUCAGUAGGUUCUCGGUUCGAUUCCGAGAGGGCGCA